rnacentral:lncRNA from 1 species
UAUUGAGUGGGUUGACAAUAAAAGAAGCCACUAUAAUUGUUAGGGGAAAACAAGUGACAACCUGAUAAUAGAAGAAUCUCUUCUGGCUAGAGAUAUCAAAUCUGUGAGCUAAAGGGAAGAACAAUGAAGACACUGGUUUAUUCUUUAUUCAUAUUCUUGUGGAUACAGCUGAGCUGUGAGUUGAGGAUUGGGGGAUAGUAGGGUAUAUAUUGGAUGUUCUUUUAAUGUCCAGGAAGGAUAUUGGGUUUUUUUAGAUCUCCUGAAUGUUCUGCAGAAAAAUAAAAUUCCAGAGAGUAAUGAUCCAAUUUAUUGUUUUUCUUUUUCCUUCCCAGGUGUGAGCCAAGGAGAGAAGGUGGAGCAGCAUCCUUCUACCCUGAGUGUCCAGGAGGGAGACAGCAUUGUUAUCAACUGCACUUAUUCAGACAGUACUUCCGUCUACUUUCCUUGGUAUAAGCAAGAAGCUGGAAAAGGUCUCCAGAUGAUUAUAGACAUUCGUUCAAAUAAGGAGAUAAGUCAAAUCCAAAGAUUCAUUGUUGUGUUGGAUAAGAAAGCCAAACACUUCUCCCUGAACAUCACAGCCACCCAACCUGGAGACUCAGCUGUCUACUUCUGUGCAGCCAGUACACAAUGCUUCCCAGACACCUG